rnacentral:rRNA from 1 species
CACGUAGGGUGCGAGCGUUGUCCGGAAUUAUUGGGCGUAAAGAGCGCGUAGGCGGUCCGAUAAGUCGGCUGUGAAAGUCAGGGGCUCAACCCUUGGAAGCCGGCCGAUACUGUCGGACUAGAGUCCGGAAGAGGCGAGUGGAAUUCCCGGUGUAGCGGUGAAAUGCGCAGAUAUCGGGAGGAACACCAAUGGCGAAGGCAGCUCGCUGGGACGGUACUGACGCUGAGGCGCGAAAGCGUGGGGAGCGAACAGG